GACGAACGCUGGCGGCGUGCCUAAUACAUGCAAGUCGAACGCACAGUUUAUACCGUAGCUUGCUACACCAUAGACUGUGAGUUGCGAACGGGUGAGUAACGCGUAGGUAACCUGCCUGGUAGCGGGGGAUAACUAUUGGAAACGAUAGCUAAUACCGCAUAAUAUUGAUUAUUGCAUGAUAAUUGAUUGAAAGAUGCUAUUGCAUCACUACCAGAUGGACCUGCGUUGUAUUAGCUAGUAGGUGAGGUAACGGCUCACCUAGGCGACGACACAUAGCCGACCUGAGAGGGGGAUCGGCCACACUGGGACUGAGACACGGCCCAGACUCCUACGGGAGGCAGCAGUAGGGAAUCUUCGGCAAUGGACGAAAGUCUGACCGAGCAACGCCGCGGGAGUGAAGAAGGGUUUCGGAUCGUAAAGCUCUGUUGUAAGAGAAGAACGGGUGUGAGAGUGGAAAGUUCACACUGUGACGGUAGCUGACCAGAAAGGGACGGCUAACUACGUG
rnacentral:rRNA from 1 species